AAUGCUACUCUCCGAGAACAAUAUCCAGCUCUGUACAAUAUUGUGCGUCACAAGGGCUAUACUAUUGCCAAUGUUUUGGAAUCAUUUCCGCCAAAUGUGACGUUCAGAAGGGAUUUAAUUGGACCUAGACUCCAAUCGUGGAACAUACUGCUCCAACGGUUAACCACGGUAUAGUUGUCACAAGGGUCUGAUGUCUUUCGUUGGAACCUACAUGGGAAUGGGCAGUUCUCAGUGGAGUCUAUGUAUAGAGCUUUGAUCCAGUCAGACGUGCCAGUUGAUAAUAAUAAGAAGAUCUGGAAGAUGAAGAUACCUCUUAAGAAUAAAAUCUUUGCGUGGUUUCUUCAUCGUGGAGUCAUUCUUACUAAAGAUAACCUUAUUAAGAGGAAUUGGCAUGGAAGUAUGCAGUGUGUUUUUUGUCUGUAUGAUGAGACAAUAAAACAUUUGUUCUUCCAUUGUAAAUUGGCUCGUUCUAUAUUGUUAGUCAUCCAGAUAGUUUCUAGCUUGUAUCAUUCGUGUAGUGUUGCUAAUAUAUUUGGCAACCGGUUACAUGGGGUUGAUCACAUGUUUAGAAUUCUUCUCAGGGUGGGAGCGCUUGCCGUGAUUUGGUCGUUUUGGCUGUGUAGAAAUGAUAAGGUUUUUAAUGAUAAAGUACUUCCCUUAUGCAGGUUAUCUACAGAUGUACCAGGACGCUUCGUUUAUGGUCCUCUCUACAGCGAGUAG
rnacentral:rRNA from 1 species